GUAAAGUAACUUAAAGUAAAAAUUUUAUUUAUUUUUAAUUAUCGUUAUUAACGUUUCCAUGGAGCUGUAAAUACUGAGUGCUGUUGUUGGAGCUCUGUGUUUGUUGUUUAGCUCACCGGCUAAUCACCUGUAGCUGUUUACACCAGCCGGUCACCCGCCUCCAACACCCAACACCGGUCUGCUGCUCCUCUUUCACCUCCUCCUGAAGAGUCACUUACAGCUUCAGCCCGUGUUAUUUAACGGCGUGCUGCCCAGAAUAAUGUCUGAGAGCUCCGGCCGGGGGUUUCCUCCUCAGCCUCCGCCGACCAAAUCCAUCCUCGUGUACCGGAACGGAGACGCUUUUUACCCGGGCAAGAAGUUCGUUAUCAACCAGCGACAAACAGCGACUUUCGACAGUUUUCUGGGCUCCGUUACUCGCGGUAUUGAGGCUCCGUUUGGGGCUGUGAGACACAUUUACACCCCAAGAGAGGGACACAGGAUCCGGUCUCUGGAGCAGUUCUCCCACGGGGAGAGAUAUGUGGCAGCUGGAGCCGAACGACUGAAAAACAUCGAUUAUCUUCAUAUUACACCGAACAGACCGCAAAGAAUGAAAAAUAAACAGAUUCGACCCGUGGUUCACAGCAAAAUAAUUGUCCCAGCACGCUGGAGGAAAAACAUUAAUGAGCCAUGCACCAUCAAUGUUUUUGCCAAUGGAGACAUCUUGGUUCCUCCAGCUCGGAUACUGCUACCAAAAUAUACACUCAACAGCUGGGAGAGCGUUCUGGCCAUGGUAACGGAGAAAGUGCAUCUUCGCUCAGGAGCUGUGCACAGGUUGUGUACACUGGACGGCACUCCAUUACUUGGGACGGCUGAGCUCAAGAACAACCAGUAUUACGUAGCUGUGGGAAUGGAGAAGUUCCGUCAUAAACCUUAUGUCCAGAAUAUUCCAAACAAAGGACUAAUCCUAGACAUCAACCAGGCCAUCAUCAAUGAAAUCCUUCCACCUCUAAAAAGAGGCAAGCCCCCACGAGACCUGUUCGCAGAUCGACCGGAAGGCAACGCAGACACCCACUUCUAUGCCCAGCCUGACAGAGGCAAACAGCGGGGGCGUGGUUUGAAAAGCCCACACCUCUACACAGCACAAGAGGACAGUGUAUUUCGAGCCAAUGACAAAAGGAAGGAAGUCGUGGGCGUGUCUGAAGUGCAAGACGAUAGUGACAUGAAGGUGGAUCUGCCCAUAGAUCAGACUGAAGCCAAGACGGUUGAAGAGGAACAAGUCGAAGACAAAUAUCCUCGACCACAGAAUGGAGGUCAAAGCCCUCGCAGAGCAGUCCUCAGACGUUCUGCCUUGAAUACUCCAAGAUCACCCUCAGUCAUCUCCUAUAAGACUUCAGUAAAUGGCUCCACUGCAGGAGAGUCGGAGAGCGGCUCUCACCUUGCCAUACCCAGAGGGGAGUCUGGGCUGGAGCCAGAGCACAAGGGCACUAAAGGGGUGGAGGCGUCCUCCGAGCCGCGUGGAGUACGGUCACGGAUGUCAAAGUUUUUCAAGAACAAUAGGAAGCAGUAACACCCAUCCUAAAUGCAAAAGAGACUUUCGAGACGGACGUUUCUUUUUCAGCGGUACAAGGAAUUAUAAGGGAGUACAUGGAAGAGGAGAGACACGGUGCAUUCAGAAAACACACAGUCUUCUUUUUCUUCUUCUCAGUCACUCACUGACGGAAUAAAGAAGAAAUGAUAGAAGAAGUGAUACAAAGCAAAUAAAAAUAUCUUCAUAUUGACA